CGCCGGUCCCGGGGCGUGACAAGAUGCUAUUUUUUAGAUGCUGAUGGUGAUGUUUUUUAGAUGCUGAUGGUGAUGUAUUUAGAUGAUGAUGGUUUAGAUGAUGAUAGUGAUGUAUUUAGAUGAUGAUGAUGAUGAUGCUUAUAUAUGAAUGUUUAUGUUUGAUCGUUAAUGAAAACUCUUGGAUCUUAACUGUGUUUUGAGAAUGUUUAUUGCAGGAACUUUCAAGACUUCAAAACUCCAUGUCUAAGUCAUAGAGUUUGUAUUAAGAUUGUAAAUAUAUAUAUAUAUAUAUAAUUUUUUCUUUUAUUGGAUUGAUCAUGCAGGAGAUUGUCGUUUGGUGAUUGCGAUAAUCUUCUUUUUAUUAUUUCUGAGUUGUAUUUGAGUGUUGUAUUAGGUUUUGUCACGAAAUCGCCAAAGGGGGAGAUUGUUAAGGAUUUUCUAGGUUGGCAGAUUUCGUAAAGUCGAAUGGAGUCUUGAAGAGUUGAUCGCGAAGGUUUGAAGAGAAGAUUCAAUUUUUUUAAAGAGCAAAGACUCAUUUGGAAAGUACGGCACCUCAGGUAUGAAGAAUAGAUCAUUUUUGGUGAUUUUAUCUAAUUACAAUAAGUUUAGAAGACUUGGAUUGCAAUAGAAAACACAAACUGAGGUUUUCAAUGUGCUGGGACCGGUCCCCUGAGAUGAGAGACCGGUUCCCGAGAGUUCUCUCUGCGUGAAAGACUAAUGCAACCGGUCUCCUGAUCUGAGGGACCGGUCUCCUGGUCGGUGCAACCGAUCUCUGGCAUG
rnacentral:lncRNA from 1 species